GGACUACCCGGGUAUCUAAUCCUGUUUGCUCCCCUUGCUCUCGCGCCUCAGCGUCAGCUAUUAACUAGAAAACCGCUUUCGCUACCGGUGUUCUUCCACAUAUCUACGCAUUUCACCGCUACACGUGGAAUUCCGUUUUCUCCGUCAAUCCUCUAGAAACGCAGUUUCAAAUGCAGCUCCGAAGUUGAGCUUCGGAAUUUCACAUCUGACUUACAUCCCCGCCUACGCGCCCUUUACGCCCAAUAAUUCCGAUUAAUGCUUGCACUCUCCGUAUUACCGCGGCGGCUGGCAC
rnacentral:rRNA from 1 species